AUAGGAAAUAUUCCUAUAGGAAAAAUUCCUAUAGGAAUUUUGUCCCAACUUCUUAUAGGAAUUUUUCCUAUAGGAAUUCCUAUAGGA